GGGUUCCUAGCGAGACCAACCUCCCACCCGUGUUUACUGUACCUUAGUUGCUUCGGCGGGCCCGCCAUUCGUGGCCGCCGGGGGCUCUCAGCCCCGGGCCCGCGCCCGCCGGAGACACCACGAACUCUGUCUGAUCUAGUGAAGUCUGAGUUGAUUGUAUCGCAAUCAGUUAAAACUUUCAACAAUGGAUCUCUUGGUUCCGGCAUCGAUGAAGAACGCAGCGAAAUGCGAUAACUAGUGUGAAUUGCAGAAUUCCGUGAAUCAUCGAGUCUUUGAACGCACAUUGCGCCCCCUGGUAUUCCGGGGGGCAUGCCUGUCCGAGCGUCAUUGCUGCCCAUCAAGCACGGCUUGUGUGUUGGGUCGUCGUCCCCUCUCCGGGGGGGACGGGCCCCAAAGGCAGCGGCGGCACCGCGUCCGAUCCUCGAGCGUAUGGGGCUUUGUCACCCGCUCUGUAGGCCCGGCCGGCGCUUGCCGAACGCAAAUCAAUCUUUUUCCAGGUUGACCUCGGAUCAGGUAGGGAUACCCGCUGAACUUAAGCAUAUCAUAGGGCGGGAGGAAU
rnacentral:rRNA from 1 species